AGCCAAUCCUUAGUGCUAGUCCCUAAGCUAAAUAGAUUAAAAAAAUAUUAAAACAAUUACUGUAGUUAAGAAAGAAUCCUUAGCUAAGGAAACUAAGGAUUUGAUCCUUAACUGUUUAUCUCUUUCUCGCCUUCUUUUUUCCUUGUAAACUUGUAACUCCAAUCCGAUCUCGCCAAUUCCAAUUUAGGGUUUUUGAAAGUUUCGAUCUUUGUAGUUUGAAUUCGAGAAGAAAAUGGCAGAAUCAGGAGGAGGGUGGCGCGAUUCGUAUAGGGGAAUGUCGUCUGAUAACGUAAAGGGUUUGGUGUUGGCAAUCUCUUCUAGUCUGUUCAUCGGAGCUAGCUUCAUCGUCAAGAAGAAAGGUCUCAAGAAAGCCGCCUCCACCGGCCCUAGGGCUGAGUGCAGGUGAUGAUCUUGGCUUUGCUAUCAUCCCUACGUCUUUGGCUUUGGACUGGUCUGGUGGUGGUGGUGGUUCGGACUUGCAGAGUGCAGGUGAUGAUCUUGGCUUUGCUAUCAUCCCUUAGCGAUAUUUAUAAGUUUUACUGAUGUUCCUAAUGAAGUUCUGUGUUGUGACAGAGGAAAGUGAAUUCGCUACUUUAGAAGCAAGUAUUGGGUUUCACACUGAUUGUGGCUUCUCUUACAUCCAUUCACGUCUUCCUGGUCAUCUAGGAGAAUUCUUGGCUUUAAGUGGGGAAAGAUUGAAUGGCAAAGAACUUGUAGCAGUUGGCAUGGCAAUACAUUUUGUACCUUCUGCUGUGAGUUUUUUCUUUUUUUUAAUGCUUUUCCUUAGUUAGAAGUAUCAUGUAAUGUGACCUCUCUUACUUGAGCUGCCUUCCUACUUGUAUUAUUAUAUACAGCAUCUGCAACUUUAGUAAUGUUUUGAAACCUAUA